ensembl:lncRNA
CUUCAUCCCUUUUCAGAUGGGAGCCAACAGCUCAGUGCUCACUGAUUUAAAGUUAGACACAUCUCGGGGGAAAAGCAACAGCCUUGUGGGAAUACGGAGGAGGAAGCUGGCCCAAAGAGCCCAGUAACUGCACCGUACUCAGCACAAUGCCCGGCACACCAUUCUAACAGCAGCAGCUAAAACUCAGAACAUCCUACCAGAUGCGUGUUGUACACCAGAUACUGUUGUCAGCACUGUGGACAAAACAGAUGAGCAGUCCUGUCCUGAUGGAGCUGCUGCUUUAGCAAUGGGAAAGAAAAAUCAAAGAAAAACGACAUGAGCGAAACACGUAGCAUGUCAGAUGGCUGUAGGUGCUGUGAAGACAAAUAAGGUUACAGAGGCGCCGCUGAGGGAAGAAACAUUUUACCAGCUCUGAAGUUUCUGUCUGGGUGAAAGAGAAGGACUGGCCUGGCUUUCCCAUCUACUCCAGUCUCUUGAAGUCACACUGGCCCCUCUUACUGGCCAGUUUGUAUUUCAUUCCAGCACAGUGCAGGGGAAACAACGUGGAGUUUGGAAUCCAGCGGACUGGGUCUGAAUCUCACCAUGAACCCUGGCUAACCAUGUAGGUUCAUAGAUCACUGACCUGCUUAACUCCAUUUCCUCAAAUGUAGACUGGGCAUUAUGAUUCCUAACCCACGAGACAUUGGAGGAUGUACUGUAAGGUGUGAUUGAAAAAUAUGAUGCAUGAUUGAAUUUUUAAAAAAUUGAUCACAGUAGAAGACGUAUUGCCCCUUAAAAUACUCCCCUUCACUUCAAACACACUCAUCUCAUUGUUCUUGCCACUUUCUGAAGAGAAGUUCUGGAACUUCUCUUUCCUGAACGUCUUUAGUUGUGCUGUCAGGACUGCCUCAGUGUCCUGAAUCAAUUCAAAAUCUUUACCUUGCAUGGUCAUUUUGACUUUGGGGAAGAGCCAAAACUUGCAUGGUGCCAGAUGUGGUGAAUACGGUGGAUGAAGACACACUAGUGUCUUUUUUUUUUGUACCAGGGAUGGAACUCAGGACCUUGCGCUUACAAGGCAGGCGUGGUGCCACUGAGCCAAAUCCCUGGCCCCACACUAGUGUCUUUUUACAAGCUUGCUUUUCUGUUGGAUGGCAGUUGACAACAGCAUUUCCUGUAUUUUUGAUCACAUCUCCCACAGACCCUCACGAAAGAGGACUUCCAGAACUGCUUCUGAAAGAGGUGAGAAUGAUCAAAUAAGUGUGUUCAGAGCAAGAGGGAAUAUUUUGUGGGGGAUUAGUGGCAAUGUGUCUUCUACUGUGAUAAUUAUUUUAAAAUGUAAACAUUCAUGGUAUUUUUCAACCACCCCUGUAUAUAGUGCCUCUGAGAGAAUUCAAAUUAGAAGAUGGUACCCACUCCUCCAGACUCUUUGCUGUCACCUUCCAUCCUCAGACAUGAAUGGUGCCCUGAGGUGAUGUGGGACACACAUUAUCCUUUGCAUAAAUGAGAGCUGCUACUAUCAUAAUCAUUAUCAUCACCUUGAUGGCAAGUGGCCCCAUCGUGACCUUUGGUGGGUUGGGUGGACCAGUAUGAGCCUGAUUAAUUCAGAUUUCAUUAUAGGAGAGCAAUCAGAGCUGAGCAGCUAAUAUGUUGUUGUGGCAAGCGGUGCAGGUGUGCUGGGAGCCACGUCUUCUUAUUAGAGCCUCUUUGUCACCUGGUGUCAGAAGCUGAAGGUCAUCAAAAUGUGGGCCACCUCUAAAUCACUGUGCCGCCAACAUAACUCCUACCACCGAGCAGACUGUCUUCAGCCACUGGAGCCCAAAAUAGAACCUAAUGGAUUUAGGAAGCAAUCAAUGCUGUCAGUGCUUCUGAAGACAUUUGUGGGUUGUAGCCUAUAAAAUAUUAAUUCUUUCUAUUUGUCUUUAAGAAUAUAUUUUAUGUGUUAAUGCAUUAUUGAAAGAUGCUUUAAUGUUAAGUGACUUUUUAAGACCCAAGAUUCAAACAGCUAAGUUUAUUUUUCUUUAGGAUAUUAAUGUAAAAUAUAAAGACAAAAGCAGAUCCCACUGACCGUACCAGUAGCCAUGCAUUGACAAGCAGGAAAUCAAACUGUAAAAUUCAAGUUGUUUUAUUCAUGUUUUGAUGGGCAAAUAAAUAACUUAUGUAUAGCAUUUCCCAUCUAAUGAAAUGUUUUACUGUUGGAUUUAUUGGGCACAUUUAUGAAAUCACAACUGUGCAGCUCUGCUUUAUUUGGCCUUAAUGACAUGAAGGCCAGGGAGGACUGUGGAUCUUCAGUGUCCAGAGUGAAGUGUGGACGGAGGAGGUAUCGCAAAUCAAAGGGUAAUCGGGAAGACACACAGAAAAUCGUUGAAGACUGACUCAGAAUUCAUCUUCUACUCAAGGACCACUGUGUAUACAUUUGUCUCCUUCCAUGCAUGAACACUGUAUACUGGUACAAAAGUACACAGUAUAUUUCUUGUUUUAUUUCACAGAAAAUGAAGUUCUACAAGGCAUGAUUUACUGCACUUUUAGGGGCCACAAACCACUUAAAUUUCCUGUGACUGUGGUGCCACACUGAAGAAGCAUGUCCACAUGCACACGAAGUUCUUCCUGUGGUUUCUGAGGGUCCUUUCCUCCCUGUGUGAGACAGCUGGGCUCCGGUCUAGUCCGGUGGUCUUGCUUUUCAUCCAAGAUUCUGAGGUUUAAAGGAGUGAUGACCCUGCCAGUGUCACUCAGUUCCUGAUACCUCAUCCCAAUACCCCCUCUCUACACAGUAAGCAGGUGCCAGCAAGGUGGCCAGCAGUGUGGGCUCCUGAGCUCAAAUCCAGAUUUGCUACUCACUGGCCUUGAGCAACUUACUUAGCUUUGUGUGCCAAAAUGUCUUUGUGUAUUUCCUUCACUGUCUGCUUCUUUUUCCCCCUCAUUGCACUCAUAAUGUAAUUCAUAAAACAUUUAAAUAUUCUGGCUGUUCUUUGUUGUUUGUUUUUUGUUUUUAGCUUAUUUGAGGGUGAAUAACUACUGCUUUAUUCUCAGUGUCCAGAACAGCUCCUGGCACACGGUAAGCAACCCAUAGACAGUUACUAGAUAGCUGUAGUGUGGUCUGCCAUGGGCACCCAUGUGAUAUAGCAGCUUGCUGCAAGCAUCAUUCACUCUAGUCGGGUCCAUCUCUCACACAGUGCCUGCCACACUGGAUGUCCUCAGCAAGCACUUGCUAAUUGAAUGCAUGAGAACAUAUAUGAUGCAGUUCAGAGGAGGAAUAAACAGAGGGAGCAUUGAGAGAAGAGAACAGUAGAGGACAAAAGAAUAUUACUUAAGAUCCUACACUUGUCCUUCCUUCAUUUCUUACUGUGUCAGUCAGCUUACCCAUUUCUGGGACACAAUACUCAAUACCCACGAUGGAAAGGAGGACAGGUUUAAUUUAACUUACAGUUUUAGGGGGAUUCAGUCCAUGGUCAUCUGACUCUAAGGCAGGAACAUCAUGGUGGAAGCAUGUGGCAGAGCAAAGCUGCUUAGCUCAUGGUGGCCAGAAAGAAGAGCAGAGCACAGUGCCAGAGAGGAAGGGACAAGGGACCAGAUAUAGACCUGAGGCCAUGCUCCAUGACUCCCCAGACACACCC